AUGAGGAAGGAGUCCCCUCCGACCACGACCCCCGCCACCACCCCCACCAGGACACCGCAGUUCACCCGUCGGUUCAGCAGCCCAGAGGGACCCCCCACUUCCAGGCCCCUCCAACAGGCGACAGCCACCUCCCCUGCCUCCCCACCCUGGGAGACAAGGUGCAAGUCACCCACUGUGGUCAACCAAGCCACCAAACCCUUCUCCACAGCCUCUUUAUCCAGGCCUAAACCAUCCACUACCACUUCACCUAUAUCGCCUGUAUCUCCCUGGGGGUCCCGCUGUCAAUCCCCUAACAUCAACCAGACAACCAAGCCUUUCUCCACCAUCAUCUCCAACUCUUCCUCUUCCAGACCCUCUCACCAAGGCACCAUCCCCUCUCCUCUCUCCCCCUCACCCCUGUCCCCUCCCUGGGGUUCCAGAUGCCAGUCUCCCAUCGUCAGCCCCAGCCCCAACAACUCCAAGGCAAACCAUCGCCUGUUAGCCAAGAACAUCAUCAACGCCGCCAAACGUAAAAACAGCCCGUCCCCAGGUGCUCUGAGCGGCCACAACCUCCCAAUCUCCCCACUAGGUGACAACACCACCCACCAGCACCACCAGGGCUACGACCACCAGCACCACCAUAUCAGCUCCAAACCACCCUUCAGCCCCUACCAGUCCAGGGCCAUGGGGUGCCAGUCCCCCCCCUUCACCAGCCCACCUCCCACCCCUACUGGGGUGAUCCGGUCCCCAGUAAGGCUCUACAACACCAGUCCCCGGGGCUGGGGCGGCAGCCUGAGGGUUAAGAGGGGUAGUUUUGGCACCGACCUAUAGGGGGAGCCGGGGAGAGAGGGUCAGGAGAAAGGACCACUGAGCUUACCCAAUAAGAGAAGAAGAGAACCCAGAGAGGACAUUGAUAAAGGGACUGGUGGGUUUUGGGCAAUUCUUAAUUUCAUUGAUGUAUAGGAGCAUCUAAGAUGGAGGGCUCAGAGCUUGCCUCACAGGUGAGAUAUGGAAAGGACUUUGAAAGGAACUGAUCUUGUGUGUUUGUUACUUUGGAGCAUCCAGGAGUAAGGGAUAAUAUGAUGCCCUUACAACACAGCUGGGACAUAGGUUGCUUCUAUCUGGUGAUUCAAAAGUCCACUAAAACCCACCGAUUUGUCUGGCUGGCUAUAGAAGAGUCCAGGACCAUCAAGCUCAGAGUUAGCUCAACAGUGGGAUUACUGAGAGGAGAUUGAAUGGACAAUUCACUGUUGCCUCUGCCUCUCAUUCUUAUAAAAUACGUUAUACAUUUAUUUCACAAAAAGGAAAUUGAAGGGAUUCUAAAAUCCAAAGCGACCUGUCCGCAACUUUAUAUUUGGAUGAUGUCAUUGAAAAAAUUAAAUGUGUUGUAUUCAGGAAUUGCUGAAAUGUAAACCUAGCUUACUUGCAUUUGACUACGACAAAAGUUCAAUGAAAAAUACAAUUAUUACAGUAGCUCACUUAUGCUUACUCUAAAUAAUUCUAUAUUCUCAUUUGAGAGAGGCUGUAUUCAAAAUGGUACCCUAUUCUCUACAGGAUAUAGUGCACUACUUUUGACCCGAGCAUUAUGGAACCUAGUCAAAAGUAGUGCACUAUAUAGGUAAUAUGGUGUCAUUUGGGAUAUAUACAGAGUAUUGAUCAGUUUCAGUACCGUAGUAGUGUCUCCAGGGAGGCAGGUAUAGGAGUUUUGUAAUAUAAUAUUACAGUUUACUGGACUAUGCUUUCAUCAAGAAAUCCCUUUGAAAGUUGCCGUGAUAUUUAGUAGAUUAAGAAAACAAAGAUGGACUAUACUCUUCCCUCUGAAUGAGUACGUAGAGAUAGAAUGGGUAGAGUCAGAGCCAUAUAUUUAUAUUGACAUUUUAUAGAUAUGGUUCUGGUUACAUUGUAGUUUCUCUACCAUUCCAUAACCUUACUAUGCAAAGAAUCAAGAAACAUUGGCGUUAUUGUGGUAUUGAUAGCAUCACAAAUGGCCCCAAAAAACAUACACUACAGUAUAUCCUUUUUAGUGAACAGGGAAACAAACGUACACUACAGUGUAUCCUUUUUAGUGAACAGGGAAAUAGCAAACGUACACUACAGUAUAUCCUUUUUUGUGAACAGGGAAACCACAACACUUCUUAUGCAGUCUUUACCUAUCGCAGUGCAAUAAUGCAUCUAUCCCCUCUAUAUACUGUAUAUACAGUUACUGUAUGUUGUUUUAUGUACUGCUUUGUUUCAAAUGAAUGUACACAUUGGCAGGUAGAAGAGAGACAGACAAAGAGGAAGUUUGUGUAGGUUUACAGUAUAUGUUAACCAAUGGGACACAAUGUUAUCAUUUCUAAUAAUGAUAUGUCUACUGUCCGGGCACCGACAACAUACAAACAAUGACUGGGGACAUGAAAAUGACAACAAAUACAGUAUGUAGAAAUACUACAUUCUGAGUGAUCAAUAUGAAACCAAGGUUUUGUUGUCACUAAUGUUGUAGGGACAAACAUCUGUGUGUACCACAACGAUCAAGGUAGCCAAUAGGAAAGAUUAAUAAAAAAUAAAAAAGGCAUUCCACAAGAGAUGGUUGAGAGAAUGUUGCAGUCAGAUGUUAGGUUUGGGAUCAGACGAUAGGAGUAGGUUUGUUAAAUGACCAAACUCUUGCUGAAGCAAGGCCCUGUAUUCCACAUACAAUACUCUAAAUGCACAUGCACAUUUCAGUUUGCUUUAGAUUUUGCAUUUGAACAAGUUUCACUUGAUUUUGUACUUCUUUGAUUCAUUCUAUAUUCCUAUUGGCACACAGUAUCGGACUGACUUUGAUUGGCUGAAACAGGUGUCAUUCACAAAAGAAACCACACUGUUCUCCAUAAUUGUCAUAGUACCACAAUAUAAUAGCCUGUUUAUGUUAUACAGUUAAAAAACAAUUAUCAGUAAAUGUAAACAUUGCACUUCAACCCUCAGGAGGCAUUGUGUAUUUCAAGGCGGGGGGGGGGGUCACCAAGGCCACCAAGGCCACCGACGUCAUUCCACAUCUCUCCCUCCGGCCCCGUAGUGGAUCACAAACAGAACAGGACCACAGGAAUGGUUCUAUCAUUGUCCCCUAAACACAUAGGACUCUUAUGUGACCGCUGCAUCAGCAGAUUACUGACUAGUCACAUGUGGGCUGUAUUCAUUAGACACCAAAAAGAAGAAGAAAAAGGAUAGAAACAGGAAGGGACUACCUGAGCUUGUCCAAUAAGGAUUUGUUUUCCAUUGCACAGCAUUUUGCUACAGUGUGCCCUGAUGUGUUGAAUCUCUGACUGACAGGGACAGCUGGUAUUAUGGUGACUUGGCACCUUGGGUAAGCAGGAAUAACCUUCUCACUGUCAUGGCUGCGUCUUAAAUGGCAUCCUAUUCAGAGUAAACACAUUUAGCUACUUGGUUUUCCUUGUGACAGCGAAGGUUAUUGUCAGAACAUUCACAACAGGAAAGGGGAAAUGCAAAAAAAACACCCAAAUGCUACGAACGGGAGAAAUCAACAAUAUAUCAACAAAACAAUAUAGAGCUAUCGGGGUAUUUCUGGUGCAGCCACUGUGGGUUUGUUUCAGCCUUGAGUAAACCCCCCCUCCCCUGAGAGUCUCCCCCUGCCAAUCAACACAGGAGCCACUGUGGGUUUGUUUCAGCCUUGAGUAAACCCCCCCUCCCCUGAGAGUCUCCCCCUGCCAAUCAACACAGGAGCCACUGUGGGUUUGUUUCAGCCUUGAGUAAACCCCCCCUCCCCUGAGAGUCUCCCCCUGCCAAUCAACACAGGAGCCACUGUGGGUUUGUUUCAGCCUUGAGUAAACCCCCCCUCCCCUGAGAGUCCCCCCCCCCGCCUAUCAACACAGAAUGGCUAUGUCCCAAUCCCAAGUGUUGAUUGUAAUUAGUUCUUAACAGAAUGUAUUUUAACAAAAGGGGGAGAUUUUCUUGAGUUUGGGACACAGAUUUGGUAAUAUGACUAACAACCAAUGAUGUUGUGUAUGUGUGUAUCAACAAUAGGUCUCAUGUACCCCUCCUUAAUUAUGUGUUAUUUAAAUAACGGAACACAAAACAAAAUAAAAGUGCUGACACUAAUUUUAUCAAUGUUGUGUAUGUGGUCUCUGUAUCGCUGUCUCUUUUCACUUCAGCUCACUAAACACUUCAGUUACAUUACAACAGUAGGAAGGGCCUAUGUAGAGGCUAAUCAGGGAUAUUACAACAGGAAGAAGACUAUGUAGAUUUUGAACAGGCUAAUCUGGGAAUACCUAAAUUCAUGGUGUUCUGUCAC
rnacentral:lncRNA from 8 species